rnacentral:rRNA from 1 species
GACGAACGCUGGCGGCGUGCUUAACACAUGCAAGUCGAACGGAAAGGCCCUGCUUUUGUGGGGUGCUCGAGUGGCGAACGGGUGAGUAACACGUGAGUAACCUGCCCUUGACUUUGGGAUAACUUCAGGAAACUGGGGCUAAUACCGGAUAUGAGCUCCUGCUGCAUGGUGGGGGUGGGAAAGUUUCGGCGGUUGGGGAUGGACUUGCGGGUUAUCAGCGUGUUGGUGGGGUAGUGGCUUACCAAGGCUUUGACGGGUAGCCGGCCUGAGAGGGUGACCGGCCACAUUGGGAUUGAGAUACGGGCAAGACUCCUACGGGAGGCAGGAGUGGGGAAUAUUGCACAAUGGGCGGAAGCCUGAUGCAGCAACGCCGCGUGCGGGAUGACGGCCUUCGGGUUGUAACCCGCUUUCGCCUGUGAAGAAGAGUGAGUGACGGUAAUGGGUAAAGAAGCACCGGCUAACUACGUG